GAGCGCGCGCGGGGGUGUGGCUGUAGCGGGGGUUGUGUAACCGCUGUUCUCCAUAAUUGUUUUGCUGUGGUGAUGCGCGGUUCGCGCGUUCGCCGUUGUCUCUCCCGGUUACUUAUCUCUGGUUCCUCAGUCCCCGUGUUGGGUGCCUGAAGGGGCUGUGGUGGGAAGACCUCACUGUGGCCUUCCAGUACAUGAAGGAAACAUAUAAACAGGAGGGGAAUGGCUGUUUACAAGGGUGGAUAAUGAUAGGACAAGGGAGAAUGGUUUUAAACUGGAACAGAGGAUGUUUAGGUUGGAUAUUAGGAAGAAGUUUUUCACAUGGAGGGUGGUGACGCAGUGGAACAGGUUGCCCAAGGAGGCUGUGGAUGCCCCAUCCCCGGAGGCAUUCAAGGCCAGGCUGGAUGUGGCUCUGGGCAGCCUGGUCUGCUGGUUGGCGACCCUGCACAUAACAGGGGGAUUGAAACUCGAUGGUCAUUGUGGUCCUUUUUAACCCAGGCCAUUCUAUGAAUAGCUCAGGAGUGGGGGAAGUCGUGAUGAAAAAAGGCUUGUGGGUUGAGAUAGGGAUGGGGAGAGCUCGAUAGUUAUGCUUGGGCAAAGCACACACAAUGUAGGGAGAUUUGUGUUAUUUGUGGCCUACUGAUGACAGACUAGAGCAGUGAGAGCUAAAAGCAAAUAUUAUUAUAUGUACUGUAGUAUAUUGUCUCGCAUUCUGAGAUCAUAUUUAGUUAAUUACUUUUCUCCCUUAGCUCAUUGCUGCUGUUUUGUUUGCAGGCCCGUCUCCCUACCUUUCCCCUCUUCCCCUUCCCCCUAUUCCAGAACAGGGAUCCAUGGGUCCCCUCACCCCAUUAGUCAUGGAACUGCACCCAAAGCCAUUGACACAACAACAACGAACACAGAAAAAAAAAUACAUGGAGAGAUUUUCUCUGAGAGACAGAGUGCUUGCUUAAUCCUGGAAAGAAUCCUGGACCGCUUCCUAUCUGGGAAGCAUCUUGGCAUCGUGAGUGGUUCAGCUCCCUGGUGUUUGUUCUUGAUGCUCCUGGAGAGUGGAGGCUCUGCAAAUUAGCGGUGAGCAAACGGGUUUGUUUGCAUGGCACAACAUCCUGAAUGCUUGGUAGAUCAAAAGGAAAGAUGUCAGUGCCCGCAGGACAGAUGUAAUUUGUUUUCUUUUUUAAUGAUUCAUAAACGUGGUAGGAUGGCAGUGACUCAAUUUAUUUUCUGUCAUCCCUAACUUCUUGUAUCAUUAUCCGUUCUUUGGGUUUUUUUGUUUGUUUGUUUUUCCAAUGCCCAUUUCAUUAAGGGGGACAUCUUGAGUGCUGUGCCGUAGUGCUUUCUCUUACUGUUAGGCCAGUUUCCAAAUCCAGCUCUUUUUAUCAGACAGGUUUAUUCCUUCCUACCAGGAGUUAAGUUUUCAAGUACUGUCCACCUUCAUAUCUCCACAUGAAUAUAGAAUCAUAAGCACAGAAGGGUUUGGGUUGGAAGGGAGCUCAAAGCCCACCAACCCCAACCCCUGCCGUGGGCAGGGCUGCCCACCACCAGCUCAGACUGCCCAGGGCCCCAUCCAACCUGGCCUUGAGCGCCUCCAGGGAUGGGGCACCACAGCUUCUCUGUGCCAGUGCCUCACCGCCCUCUCAGCAAGAAAUUUCCCCCUGACAUCUAAUCUAAAUCUCCCUUCUUUUAGUUUUAAACUGUUCCCCUUUAUCCUAUCACUAACAACCGGUGUAAAAGGUUGAUUUCCCUCCUGCUUAUAAGCUCCCUUUAGGUACUGACAGGUGGCAGUGAGGUCUCCUUGGAGCUUUCUGUUCUCCAGGCUAAGCAAACCCGGCUCUCUCAGCCUUUCUUUGUAGGACAAACAGAUGGCAAAGAACCAGAUGUGAUAGGCCUCUUAAUAUGUCAAGUAAAUUGAUUCUAAGAAGUUAUUUCAGAGAUCACAUAAGGCAUCAACAACAAACACUUACAUGUGGAAAAAAGCCUGAACUCAGAUACCCGAUGAGUAAGUUAGACAGAAGGCAGCUAACAAAGAUACUAGGAGACAGCAUGUUGAACAGAUCAGCAGUGGAAGGCUAAAGAAGAGAGGCAGAUUUAGAGAGCUAAUGUACAAGAGUUUGUGUGGCACAUACAGAAAUAGAUCAGUAAUCUUAUAUAGGUCAUGGCCUCGCCUUUUGGAGUGUUUUCUAUUACCCUUUCACUAGUACAGUAGAAAGAAAAUAGUAUUAGCUUACACGUGUGCUCUUUCUCAAGAGUCUUAUACAAGAAGAUAGAGAAAGGUUUUUGUUUUGCUUUCUCCCACAUGCUUGCUUGUAACUAAUUUACUUUCUUACAUCUUAGUGGUAGGGAACAGAUUUUGUGGGGAAAAAAAAACAAAACAAAACACCACAAAGAAGCUGAACAGAGUGCUUGGUAGCAAUAACUUGUUUUACUGCUUGACAUAUCAGUGCCAAAGGAGAGAACAAGUGCACUGCUAACCUUUGAUAGCAUGAACUGCAGUAUGAUCUGCAAGAUCUGGCCAAUGUGAGAAGGAGUGUGUUAUCUCUUACAACUCUUUGUUUGCCAACUCCCUUUGCCUCGUAACAUAGUUCUACUGUCCUGGCUUGGAAGAAGCCCAGACCAGGCCUGGAUGCAUGCUUAUAGAUAGCUAAAAUGGUGAUAGUGAGAGCUGACUUGGAGCUCAGGGUGGGUGAAGAGAGUACGAGGGGACAGCCUUAGGGCUGGGCAGACACAUGGCUUUGCCUAUGCACACCGUUCUGCAGUUACCUGCAAGGCACGUCUGUUCUAGCAGGGUACUGAAGUAGUGAUGGUCAAAAAGGUUCCUCACACUGCAUAAUGGGAGACACAGGUAUUUCUGAAGGGCUAGGAUCCAAGGGAGUCUUGGUUAUUUCCCAAUUUGCUUGCUUAAAAGGCAAAUUAAUUAAUUGUUGUGUAAUGUGGGUUAAUAGAAGUCUAAUCUACAUAGGAGCUCAUCAACUUCUAUGCAAAAUGUGCAUAGAAACAAAAAAUCCCAAGCCCUUAUGUACUGUACAAAUAUGGCAUAUAUUGAGCGUAAAGCCCCUCCAACAGAUUAACGUCCAUUCUGAUCAGGAUUUUACAUGGAUUAAAAAAUUAGAGGCAUUUUUAGGGUUGAAAUUCCCAUGGCAGCCAUACCUGUGGUACACUGUGCGAAUGUAGUAUUUUUACUUGGGGUGACUCUCAUGGGGAAAUGCAGAGUGAAACUAAGAUUGUAAUAAUCGGUAUCAUUCCACAUCUCCUGAGCUUACGUGCAUCGGUGCUCACCCAUCGUGAUCAUUGUCCAUGAAUCUAUAUUAAUGUUUUUUUAUGUUUAUUUGCUUAUAUGAAGAAAAACAAAUAGAAACAGCAUGAAUUUUGAUGAAUGAUCCUAUCUGUGGGCCGGUAAGGACGCUGAAUGUGUUUAUGUGAAGGGGAGACUGCAGGUGAGCUAAGUACAAGUGUGCCCACGCCAGCAUGCAGGAAAGCAGGCAGCUGUCUCUUCUCUGCAAACUCUGGCUCCAAAGGUGAGGAAUGCCAGUGGGGCUGGCUCAGAGUGCUUCUUCCUUCUGCUCCUGGAGCAGCUCUUUGGUUCUUCUUACCUCAUUCUUCCUGCUCCGCAAAGAUGAUGAGCUGUAGCUUCCCAGUGCUGUAAUGGGCAGGUUGCAUGGUCUUUUCGUUUAAAGGCUCUCUGUGGAAUGUGGAAGCUGCAUUUCCAGUGUUGGUGUGACCUUGUGCUGCGGCACCAGUGAGGAUCUGCAACAUUUGGGAGUCACCUAGUGAACAGAGAGCACAAUAUACAUACGUUUUUGCAGGCUUACUCAGAAAGGAGAGUGCCGUACUGCAUCUGGAUUGUUAUUCUGCAAUGUGAAAGGUCUGGAAAAGGCUUGUGGCUCAUCGUGUGUUCUCCUUUGGGAUCCCAUGGCCUAGAUGCUGGAAUCUCCUAGUGUCUAAUGUGUGCUUUGUCACCGAGUUCAGCUGUCUAGCACUGAUGUCUUAACACCGUCUGAGAUAUUUCAGGAUACCCCCUCUGGCCUCUAGCUGCUCCUGAAGGAGUCCCGGAGCUGCCGUCCCCUACCCUUAAGGGCGGAAAGCUGAGUGCAUGCAAGAUGGAGGGCUGCUGCUGGGGUUGCCGCAGCCAAAUGAGGGCCUACAGGGUCAGGUUGGCUGCUCUCACAGGAACGCGUUGGCAUGGCCAAUGUUGGGCAAAACAAAGGCCAGUGAGUCCUUCACCCUGGUUAUGGCAAACAGCCGUGCCUCCAGCUUCAUGAGCUCCUGCAUCGUGGCCUGCACUUAUUGGGCCUUUGUGUGGAAGCCUGUGCCUUUUCAUACAUUACCUCAUAUAAAAAGAAUGGCCUUGUAAGGAUUUCAUUUAAAGCACAGAAGAGGAAAUACCUAAUCUUAUAUUUUUAGCCAGGAGUUUCUCUGUGAAGCCCUUGUAGUUGUAAUUAAACCUUUAAUGUCACUUGAUACGAAGUUGAUUUUCAAUCCUGACCCAGAGGAGCAUAUCCUAGAAGUAGCUUCCCAGGCAGCUUCAUAUGGAUGUACGUUUCAGUGCUUCCUGACACAAACUGUUUGGCACUCUCUUUAAUAUUUACAUAUUAGUAACACAACGGGUGCCGGUAUGCCAAAGAAACAAAGCUUUUGAUUGAUUUCUUUAUUUUUGCUUAACUCAUCUGUGCUGACUAAUCAUCUGAUUCAGUACAAAACCACAAGGGAAACGCUAAUUAAUACACAAUUAGAACCUACCUGAAUGCUAUGGGAGGGUAAACUGUGACAUUCCGCAGUGAGAAAUCAAACUUGCCAAACGUGUUGGAAUACAUCUAGGCAGGUCUCCGAGAUAACAAAGACGUGUUUGAUUAGGAGCUGUAAAGGCAUGAUUUAUCCUCCCAGGACACGAGGUGAUCAGGGAGUGACUGAGUUCCUUCACAAAUUAGACCCACGACUCAGGGAGCAUGGGUUCACGUGGCAGUCAGUGAGAAGAGACUCCUGGAUGCUAUUUUAAUACAAAUAAUAAGUGGGAAUACAGCUACAAAACCCAUGAGGCAGGUGCUGUAACGCGGUUGCUACACCGCUGUGUAAUUAAUAUUUAUGUGAUCACCUUUGCAUCCAUUAGGAUUUUUAUUUCCACAGGUCAGUAAACAUCUCCCGCCUGCCAAAAGCACAAAGGGCACCACAGGAAGAGGCCUGCAGACUUUGCACCCAGCACUUGUGCAGGGGAUCGUCGGCUCUCUGCAUUUCUACGAUCCAGAAUGCUUUCACAAAAUGUGGCCAGGGCAGAUAUACAAGUUUCUGGCUGGGACUCAGGUAUUACGACUGUUGGUUUUGGUGGACAGAAAAAGUCCCUUUCUGUUCAUUUAUAAGCUGUUUGAGACUUUGAAAAGCCAGCCCGUGGCUCUGUCGCAGGGCCAAGCCUCGUAGCUGUUCUGGAACAGGCUACAGCAUCCGCUGAAACCCGUGCCCAUGUUGAACCGCAUCCAGCGCUGUCAGCACACGCCACAGCGCGCUGGCAUUGAGGACUUGCAGUGGGCACGUGGGCCUGGCGGGACGGUUCCUGUACGCUUCCUGAGCUGGAGUGAUUUAAGCCUCCUGGCACGUGGCCCACUGCAUCACACGGCUCUGAAACACUCAGAUAUGCCGGUGUGCCUGCGGCUGCAGAGGAAGAAGAGGCUGCUGCAGCCAGCUGCUGGAGAUUAGCACCCGUUCCUAACUACAUGCACAGUUAGUGCCUAAUCCGGAGCUGUCAGUAAGGUCUGGGCUAACAUGCACAUAUUUAACAGCUGGUUUUUCUGAGCCUGGAUCACUCUGACUAUAACCUGGCUAAGGAGUAAUGCCACGUGCAAUCAUGCCAUGAGGUCUGUGGGGCAGCAGCAGUCUUUGCUUAUCAUAUGGAGUGAGCUGCUCAGUGUAGGCAGGGGCAAUGCAGCCAGACACAGUUCCAGACCCAAAUACUUACUAUGAAUAUUCUCUGCAGCCUCAGGUGGACACAACAGGCAUGCAGGAUUUUCAGGUCGCAUAUUCCAGUUGUGCCUGGCCCUGGGCAGCUGAGGGCUUGCUGCUGGUUGCCUCUGAGAUGGUUUCAGGUUCUCUCUCUUUCAAGCCACCACCCUCAUUGCUUUCAGUUCCUCUGCAUGCCUCUGCACGCUGAACUUCUCUUCUGUGCCUGAGACAUGAGGCAGCAGCCAGGCUGUCCCAGUCAACCAAGCCAGAGAUGCUCAUCCCUGUGGUGCAUGGAAAAAUUGAAAUGCUUCCCAUGUGAGAGUAGAAAAUUUCCCCAUACCAGACCACAUUUCUGCUUGCUUCCCUUUCCCUGGAAGCAGGGCAAGAUGUCCCCGGUGUGGGACAAUCCACUGGGGACCCACGGUAAGUCUUUUACACAAACAUGUUCCGGAGUUCAAGAGGAAUUUGAACAACACUCUCAGAAACACAGGUUGUGUGUUCCUGUGUAGAACCUGAGCUCGAUGGAGGAGCUGGGCUGGAUUCAGUGAUCCUUGUGGGAUGUUUUUAGGACAAACUUUGUUGCUGAUAGGAUCAAGGGGAAAAAAUGCAAUGUGAAUGAUUAUAAAACUGUGCAUGGAUUGGAGAUGGGAGUUGGUGUCUGUUCUGGUGAAUUCAGAGCUUAUUAGCAAUGACAAAUGGCCACUGGUUGGCAUCAUGGGUGCAGGUUUCCUGUGACAGAUUCUGCCUUUCACAAUUACCAUCACUAAAAUACUUGAAAAUAUGUCUUCGUUUGCUAAAAUACCCCAAAAUGUGUAAUUUUCAAGAAGAAGAAGUGUACAGACCAGGGACACUGGUUAGUUUAUAUAGACACACGACUCCCUGUGCCCUCUCAUGGAAAUUUUACCAUCUUCAUCCUUUCGAAACUCCAGAGUCAGGAGAAGAAAUUUCAGCUGUGCCUCAUAAACCAGCAUUUCUAAAACAGCCACAAGUCUUUGGAGGGGAUCCCUGCACCUACCUGCCAGGCAUUCAGACCUGGGGAUUAUGAGACACCAAACGCCAGGCAGAGUUUUACAAGUCAUUCUUAGUUCCCUGUUGGUGAACGUCAAUGAAAAAAGGACCUAAAAGGAACAUUUUGUGAAGAUGUUCCUUGCUCUAUGAAACAAGAACUGUUGUGGUAGAGUCCCCGUUGUCCUCAUCCUUUCACCUAACUGACGUGCUUAUUGCUUAAUCCUGUCUUAUAUGGAUUCCAACCUCAGAUCAUGUGGGAAAAGUGGGACUUGAUUAAGACCUAAUUGCCUGUUGUAUAUGCUUGAUAACUUUAAGGUAUGUGUAUGAGGGGCCUGAGGAAGCAAAUGGUACAAAUGACGUCAGUUCAUCCCCUGGACAAAAAUUAAUUUGCCCUUUUCUAAGUAGGUUUGCAGUUUGGAAAUCCGUGUGAAUCUUUGGCUAUGUGACAAUAUAAACUGUGAA